rnacentral:misc_RNA from 1 species
GUGGGAGGGGGCUUGCCCCCGAUAGCGGUGGGUCAGUCAACUGAUUUGGCACUGAUACACCUCUAUCGGGGGCAAGCCCCCUCCCAC